rnacentral:rRNA from 1 species
CACCGCCCGUUGCUCCUACCGAUUGAAUGGUCCGGUGAAGUGUUCGGAUUGCGGCGACGUGGACGGUUCGCCACCGGCGACGUCGCGAGAAGUCCACUGAACCUUAUUAUUUAGAGGAAGGAGAAGUCGUAACAAGGUUUCCGUAGGUGAACCUGCGGAAG